GCGGCCAUAGUUGAAUGGCCCAACACCACCUUCCCAAGGUGGGGAUGCGGGUUCGAUUCCCGCUGGCCGCUCCA
rnacentral:tRNA from 2 species